rfam:Gossypium hirsutum cultivar TM-1 chromosome 25, whole genome shotgun sequence
AAUCUGUUGUGCGAGCAUUUUUGAAUCAACAUUUUGAAGUGUUCCCAUGCCUCAUAGAAGCUUUCUCCUUCCAUCUGUCUAAAGACAACAAUCUCUCUUCUUAAUU